CUGGUUGAUCCUGCCAGCGGCCACCGCUAUUGGGUUUCGCUUAAGCCAUGCGAGUCGAGAGGGUUCGGCCCUCGGCAGACUGCUCAGUAACACGUGGAGAACUUGCCCUAGGCUGGAGGAUAACGUCGGGAAACUGACGAUAAUACUCCAUAGCCCAUCCUUCCUGGAACGGUGGAUGGGUGAAAGCUCCGGCGGCCUAGGAUAGCUCUGCGGCCUGUCAGGUUGUAGCGAGGGUAACGUCCUCGCUAGCCUACGACGGGUAUGGGUGUUGGGAGACAUCGCCCAGAGAUGGAUUCUGAGACACGAAUCCAGGCCCUACGGGGCGCAGCAGGCGCGAAAACUGCACAAUGUGGGAAACCACGAUGCGGGAAACCCAAGUGCCAGCGCUAUGCGUUGGCUGUCCUCCAGUGUUCGUAACUGGGGAAGAAAGUGCUGGGUAAGACGGGUGCCAGCCGCCGCGGUAAUACCCGCAGCACAAGUGGUGGUCAUUAUUAUUGGGCCUAAAGCGUCCGUAGCCGGCCUGUUAGAUGCCUGGGUAAAUCGAUGCGCUCAACGCAUCGAAUUCCGGGUAGACCGGCAGGCUUGGGACCGGGAGAGAUGUGAGCUACUCGAGGGGUAGGGGUAAAAUCCUGUAAUCCUUCGGGGAGGACCAGUGGCGAAGGCGUCACAUUAGAACGGCUCCGACAGUGAGGGACGAAGCCCUGGGGCGCAAACCGGAUUAGAUACCCGGGUAGUCCUGGGUGUAAACGCUGCAGACUUGGUGUCGGUGAUCCUACGAGGGUUGCCGGUGCCGUAGAGAAGUUGUUUAGUCUGCCGCCUGGGGAGUACG
rnacentral:rRNA from 1 species